rnacentral:tRNA from 1 species
UAAAGCCCCUCGCUUACACCGAGGAGUUGUCUGUUUAACCCAGAUCAUUUUG